CGCUGGCGGCGUGCCUAAUACAUGCAAGUCGAACGGUCUUUCUAUGGAAGCUUGCUUCCACUGAGAAGAUAGUGGCGAACGGGUGAGUAACACGUGGGUAACCUGCCCAUAAGAGGGGGAUAACAUCCGGAAACGGGUGCUAAUACCGCAUAGUUUUCUUGAUUGCAUGAUUGAGAAAGGAAAGACGGCCUUUGUGCUGUCGCUUAUGGAUGGACCCGCGGCGUAUUAGUUAGUUGGUGAGGUAACGGCUCACCAAGACGAUGAUACGUAGCCGACCUGAGAGGGUGAUCGGCCACAUUGGGACUGAGACACGGCCCAAACUCCUACGGGAGGCAGCAGUAGGGAAUCUUCCGCAAUGGACGAAAGUCUGACGGAGCAACGCCGCGUGAGUGAAGAAAGGGUUUUCGGAUCGUAAAACUCUGUUGUCAGAGAAGAACAAGUUGGAGAGUAACUGCUCCAGCCUUGACGGUAUCUGACCAGAAAGCCACGGCUAACUACGUGCCAGCCGCUGC
rnacentral:rRNA from 1 species